rnacentral:rRNA from 1 species
GUUGUAUGGUUAAGUGACUAAGCGUACACGGUGGAUGCCUUGGCAGUCAGAGGCGAUGAAGGACGUAUUAACUUGCGAUAAGCCCAGAGAAGGUAGUAAAAACCGGUGACUCUGGGAUUUCCGAAUGGGGAAACCCACGUGCAUAAGCACGUAUCGUGUUGUGAAUACAUAGCAGCACGAGGCGAACCGGGGGAACUGAAACAUCUAAGUACCCCGAGGAAGAGAAAUCAACCGAGAUUCCGGUAGUAGCGGCGAGCGAAACCGGAUUAGCCCUUAAGCUAGUUUUGCGUUAGGUGAAAGUUCUGGAAAGUUCUGCGAUACAGGGUGAUAGCCCCGUAACCGACAACGCAUUAUCAGUGAAAACGAGUAGGACGGGACACGUGAUAUCCUGUUUGAAUAUGGGGGGACCAUCCUCCAAGGCUAAAUACUCCUGACUGACCGAUAGUGAACCAGUACCGUGAGGGAAAGGCGAAAAGAACCCCUGUGAGGGGAGUGAAAUAGAACCUGAAACCGUGUACGUACAAGCAGUAGGAGCCCACUUGUUGGGUGACUGCGUACCUUUUGUAUAAUGGGUCAGCGACUUAAUUUUAGUAGCAAGGUUAACCGUUUAGGGGAGCCGUAGGGAAACCGAGUCUUAACUGGGCGAAAUAGUUGCUAGGAUUAGACCCGAAACCGAGUGAUCUAGCCAUGGGCAGGUUGAAGGUGAGGUAACACUUACUGGAGGACCGAACCGACUAAUGUUGAAAAAUUAGCGGAUGACUUGUGGCUAGGGGUGAAAGGCCAAUCAAACUCGGAGAUAGCUGGUUCUCCCCGAAAGCUAUUUAGGUAGCGCCUCGGACGAAUACUACUGGGGGUAGAGCACUGUUAAGGCUAGGGGGUCAUCCCGACUUACCAACCCUUU